rnacentral:miRNA from 1 species
GACGUCGAUAUUCGAGGUCAUAAACACCAUCAAGUUUGGUGUUUAUGACGUCGAUAUUCGACGUCCUAAACUUGGUGUUUAUGACGUCGAUAUUCGACGUCAUAAACACGAUCAAGUUUGGUGUUUAUGACGUCGAUAUUCGACGUCAUAAACACGAUCAAGUUUGGUGUUUAUGACGUCGAUAUUCGACGUCAUAAACACGAUAAAGUUUGGUGUUUAUGACGUCGAUAUUCGACGUCAUAAACACGAUCAACUUUGGUGUUUAUGACGUCGAUAUUCGACGUC